UACGUAGGGUCCGAGCGUUGUCCGGAAUUACUGGGCGUAAAGAGCUCGUAGGUGGUUUGUCGCGUUGUUCGUGAAAACUCACAGCUCAACUGUGGGCGUGCGGGCGAUACGGGCAGACUUGAGUACUGCAGGGGAGACUGGAAUUCCUGGUGUAGCGGUGGAAUGCGCAGAUAUCGUUUGGAACGCCAAUGGUGAAAACAGGUAACUGGGAGUGCGCUGACGCUGAGACACGAAAGCCAGGGGAGCGAACGGG
rnacentral:rRNA from 1 species